CGCUGUUAUACACGUGUUUUGGUAUUGAUUAUGAUUCGCUAAAUAUUACUCAAUAAGAAACUACUUGAAUGAGUAGAUUUGGUGUUCCCCCAGUCCCUAUAUUUACAUUUAUAGUGCUGAUUUAUGAUAUUAAUUUUUUUGUUUUUUGUUUUUUAACUAGAUUGUAGUUGAUCAAACAGAACCCGGCAACAAUUUCGAGAUAUUUUUCUUAAGCUAUGGUUCUCGGGCUGAGGUCAAAGCACAGAAAAAGUGCUUCUGUUAAAGUUGAGUACAUAGUGAACUUACAGGAGAUUAGGCCUUGGCCUCCAACAGAAUCACUGAGUUCCGUUCAAACCGUGUUGCUCCAAUGGGAAAAUGGUAAUAAAAAUUCAGGAUCCUUUAUUUCUGUUGCUGGGAAUACCAGUAUAUCGUUCAACGAGUCUUUCAUACUGACCUUUACUCUGCGCCAAGAUAAAAAGGCCCGUGAUAAGUUUCUUAAGAAUUGCUUAGAGUUCAGCUUGUUUGAGCCUCGAAAGGACAAGGGAAGUAAAGGGCAAUUAUUGGGGACAGCUUUAUUAAAUCUUGCUGAUUAUGGAGUACUUGAAGAAAUCAUAAGUAUUAGCAUUCCUUUAAACUUCAAGAAGAGUUAUAAGAAUUCAGUGCAACCAGCUUUGUUCGUAANUCAUGUAGCU
rnacentral:lncRNA from 1 species